rnacentral:rRNA from 1 species
AGGACGAACGCUGGCGGCGUGCUUAACACAUGCAAGUCGAGCGGGCAUGAUCCGGUGGCAACACUGGUGAAGUGCUAGCGGCGAACGGGUGAGUAACACGUGAGCAACCUGCCCCCAAGUCUGGGAUAACCCCGGGAAACCGGAGCUAAUACCGGAUGCCCUCUCCGGAUCGCAUGGUCUGGCGAGGAAAGAAUUUCGCUUGGGGAGGACUCGCGGCCUAUCAGCUUGUUGGUGGGGUAAUGGCCUACCAAGGCUUCGACGGGUAGCUGGUCUGAGAGGACGACCAGCCACACUGGGACUGAGACACGGCCCAGACUCCUACGGGAGGCAGCAGUGGGGAAUCUUGCGCAAUGGGCGAAAGCCUGACGCAGCAACGCCGCGUGGGGAUGAAGGCUCUCGGGUCGUAAACCCCUUUCAGUGGGAACGAAAUGACGGUACCACAGAAGAAGGACCGGCCAACUACGCGCCAGCAGCCGC